AAGACUUUUAAAUGCUCAACAGAUGGUUUUACCCCAAACCAAGCUUCAAAAGGAGUCUUAUCUCUCAAUGCUUUUGUUGGAAGUCUGUUCAGAAGGUAAAUUAAUGUGUUUACUGCUUUUGCCCAAAAUUUCUUUGGCAGCUUCUUGUUAAACAAAAGGCAUCUAGACAUCUCCAUAACAACUCUAUUUUUUCUCUCUCUCACUCCAUUUUGUUGUGAA
rnacentral:misc_RNA from 1 species